rnacentral:rRNA from 1 species
UACGAAGGGGGCUAGCGUUGUUCGGAAUCACUGGGCGUAAAGGGGGCGUAGGCGGGGAGGUAAGUCGGGUGUGAAAUCCCUCGGCCCAACCGAGGAACUGCGCCCGAGACUGCUUCUCUUGAGUCCCGGAGAGGAAGAUGGAAUUCCCGGUGUAGCGGUGAAAUGUGUAGAGAUCGGGAGGAACACCGGUGGCGAAGGCGGUCUUCUGGACGGUGACUGACGCUGAGGCGCGAAAGCGUGGGGAGCAAACGGG